UUUGACCUCAAAUCAGGUAGGACUACCCGCUGAACUUAAGCAUAUCAAUAAGCGGAGGAAAAGAAACUAACAAGGAUUCCCCUAGUAACUGCGAGUGAAGCGGGAAAAGCUCAAAUUUGAAAUCUGGCAGUCUUUUUUUUCUUCUUUGGCUGUCCGAGUUGUAAUCUAGAGAAGUGCUUACCUGCACUGGACCAUGUAUAAGUCUCCUGGAAUGGAGCGUCACAGAGGGUGAGAAUCCCGUCUUUGACAUGGACUGCCAGUGUGUU
rnacentral:rRNA from 1 species